AGUGAACGCUGGCGGUAGGCCUAACACAUGCAAGUCGAACGGCAGCACAGUAAGAGCUUGCUCUUACGGGUGGCGAGUGGCGGACGGGUGAGGAAUACAUCGGAAUCUACUUUUUCGUGGGGGAUAACGUAGGGAAACUUACGCUAAUACCGCAUACGACCUACGGGUGAAAGCAGGGGAUCUUCGGACCUUGCGCGAUUGAAUGAGCCGAUGUCGGAUUAGCUAGUUGGCGGGGUAAAGGCCCACCAAGGCGACGAUCCGUAGCUGGUCUGAGAGGAUGAUCAGCCACACUGGAACUGAGACACGGUCCAGACUCCUACGGGAGGCAGCAGUGGGGAAUAUUGGACAAUGGGCGCAAGCCUGAUCCAGCCAUACCGCGUGGGUGAAGAAGGCCGUCGGGUUGUAAAGCCCUUUUGUUGGGAAAGAAAAGCAGCAGGUUAAUACCCCGCUGUUCUGACAGUACCCAAAGAAUAAGCACCGGCUAACUUCG
rnacentral:rRNA from 1 species